AAAUUGGUCAUUGUACUGCUUAUGAGACUGUUGACAAGUUCUGAGUGGUUAAACUGCUGAAAUACUUAUUUUUUUUCUUUAAUGUAUGUAAUAAGUGACUGCAAAUAUAUAUCUUGCUUGAACCACCUUCAUAGAGGUGAGUAAAAUAGUUAUUCCAAAUUGAAUGAAGCCAAAGUGUUUAUUGAUAGGACCACUGCAACACCUAAUGGGGAUCCUAGUAAAAUACCAAACAUUUACAUUUAAGUCAUUUAGCAGACGCUCUUAUCCAGAGCGACUUACAAAUUGGUGCAUUCACCUUAUAACACAUUUUAGCUUUGCUUUUGUGAACUAAAUGUAAUGCACUUUUAAUAUAAUAUUUGUUCUGAUUUAAAGGCAUAAUGUUUUUAAAAACCAGGGCCAUCUGUUAAAUCAAAUUGGAAAUAGAAUUGAGUCAAUGUGUCCCUUCUGUCAACAAGAUGCAGCUUUACUUACUAAGAUAUUGAAGUAUUUCCAGAUCAGUUAUUAAUAUUGUACUACCAAAUGACAUACGUUUUGUUGAUAUCGAACAUGUGCUCCACAGUAAAAAGCUUAUUAGUUCAGUCAACCUUUCAAUUAGAAAGUAUUUUACUUUGACACCACAGUGUUUUUAAAGGAAACAUAUUCACUUCCUCAAUGCUCUAUAUUAAAGAGUGUUUCUUUUAGCUUUUUGUAAACUAUGGUUUGAUCAUGUUGUUGCAUUGUGUGUUCAGACAGAUGUCUGUUAGAAGGAGGAAGCCAGUUCAGUCUCAAAUAUUUAUCACAGCUCUGAGGAUGUUGAGGAUUGUUGCCUGUCUGCUCUGUAAGACUAUUUAUUAUUCUUAUGUUAUUUAUUUUACAUUCAUUUUACAAUAAAUGAAGUGUCUCAUGGAUUCUUCUGUUCUUAGGUGUCUUAAGACUGUGUUGGAACUGAUGCUUUGACAGAGACACUAGUAGAACUUGGACACAAUGCAACACUGAACUGUUCAGUUCUGAUAAAUGGCAUAUUAUUAUAUUUUUUAUCUUACUAAAACUUUUCUUUAGACUGGAUACCAGGCUAACCUUUCCUGCCUUUACAAGCAAUGUUAGGACUAUCUGUUACUGUACUUUUGACUGCAUGGAGACCCAAUACACACUGUAAGAUGUUACUCAGUGAAGUGUGAUCACAAUAGUCUAUACUAAUUCCAUCUGUAUGGGUCAUCUUAGCCAUUUCAGUGCUGUGGAAGAGAGCUGCUUGCCAGAAGAACCAUGACUCUCCUCCAACCCCUGAACCACCUGAAAGGACAGACAGUCUACAGUAUGACGUGAUACAGCUGGUACUCACACCAAGAGGACCAAGGCCCGACCACAUUGCCUCAACUAUUUACUCCAGAGUUCAGUUUCCAGUAUUUCUGAGGAGUAUUUCUGUCUGUAAUAAAGCCCUUUUGUGUGAAGAACUCAUUCUGAUUGACUGGGCCUGGCUCCCCUGUGGGUGGACCUAAGACCUCCCAGGCCUACCCAUGGCUGUGAAAUCCAUAGGUUAGGGCCUAGUUAAUGUAUUUAAAUUGACUGAUUUCCUUCAAUGAACUGUAACUUGUUACAUUUAUAUUUUUGUUCAGUAUAUAAAAGUUUUAAAAAUGUAUGUAGCAACUAAGGAUUCUAGCUUUAAUACCAGGGAUAUUUUGAAAAGCACUUUUUCAAUAGAAUUUCCUGCCCUGUAUAUAUAUUUUUUAACGUUUGACCUUCUGCAUAAUGAGAAAUGGCCACUAAGCAAGAGAUCAAUUGACACUCACCACUUCCUCUUUGCACAGACUGCGCUUCAUGUGGAAACUUUAAGCAAGUUAACAAUGACCUUACACAUCAUUAUGUUGGGGUUUUUUCAUCACUUUUUGAAGUUUUAACUUCAUUACUUCAGUUAGGUUUUCCACUAGUAAUGUAAGCUGAAAGCUUUGCUAUGAGACUCAAAAUUGAACUCAGGUCCAUCCUGUUUCCAUUGAUCAUCCUUGAGACAUUUCUACAACUUGAUUGGAGUCCACCUGUGGUAAAUUCCAUUGAUUGGACAUGAUUUGGAAAGGCACACAACUGUCUAUAUAAGGUCCCACAGCUGACAAUGCAUGUCCGCAAAAAACAAGCCAAACAAGGUCAAUGGAAAAAAAACAGACAACCCCCCCCCAAUUUAAUACAUUUUAGAAUAAGGCUGUAACGUAAUAAAAUGUGGAAAAAUGUCAAGGGGUCUGAAUACUUUCCGAAUGCACUGUACAAAAUGGGCUGUGCAGUAAAUCUGUUUUGUUUACCCCAGAGGUUUAUACUGACUAAAUCAGACCUGCAACUGCAGGUCAUCAUGGGAGAACUGUCUUCAUUUACAGUGUUCUGAAUGUUAUUCUGAUGCUUAUGAUCCUGGGUGAGUGAAUGGAAAUACUAGAUAUCAAAAUGUUAACAUUUUAAUGUUGUAUGCUGAGAAUGUUGCUUGUGUAAUAUUGAUAUUUCAGUACAUAUCAUGACUUUGGCAUGUCAGAACAGAAGCUGCUUUUAAAAACUAAGACCACCUCAAGAUGCAGACCAGAGGUAAGAUACUUUUUGUUUGGUGUCUGAACAGUUGCAGCAUUCUCACACACCAAUUGAUUAAACUUAAACAGUAUCAAAUACUGAAACUCAUACAAAAUAUUAACUUAACUAAUAACUUUUGACUGUAGAUAUGGUCUUUGUAAAAUAUGAAUUGCAUUGUUUGUUUUUUCAAAGUCGUGACAAUGAUACAGUGAACAUAUUACUAAAAUACUGUUGUGAAUAUGCCUGUAUCCUAUCACCCCUUUCUACCUACCGCUAGUCAGUAAUUAAUAAAUACAUGUGUUUCUUCA